rnacentral:rRNA from 1 species
AGCUCCAAUAGCGUAUAUUAAAGUUGCUGCAGUUAAAAAGCUCGUAGUUGCAUUUCCGAGGCAAGGGAUUAGUCCGACCUUUGGUGGGUAUUUAAUCCUCUUGCCUCGUCCUUGAGUGGUGCUUCUUGGUAUUAAGUUAUCGAGGAGAUAGCCGCUCAUCGUUUACUGUGAGAAAAUUAGAGUGUUCAAAGCAGGCUUAUGCCGUUGAAUAUAUUAGCAUGGAAUAAUAAGAUAGGACCUCGGUACUAUUUUGUUGGUUUGAGAACCAAGGUAAUGAUGAAUAGGGACAGUUGGGGGUAUGCGUAUUCAGUUGUCAGAGGUGAAAUUCUUAGAUUUACGGAAGACGAACUACUGCGAAAGCAUUUACCAAGUAUGUUUUCA